UACGUAGGUGGCAAGCGUUAUCCGGAAUUAUUGGGCGUAAAGCGCGCGCAGGCGGUCCUUUAAGUCUGAUGUGAAAGCCCACGGCUCAACCGUGGAGGGUCAUUGGAAACUGGGGGACUUGAGUGUAGAAGAGGAGAGCGGAAUUCCACGUGUAGCGGUGAAAUGCGUAGAGAUGUGGAGGAACACCAGUGGCGAAGGCGGCUUCCUGGCCUGUUCUUGACGCUGAGGCGCGAAAGCUAGGGGAGCAAACGGG
rnacentral:rRNA from 1 species